rnacentral:rRNA from 1 species
UUUACUUCCGUAAAGCAGGCAAUGGAUGCCUAGGGCGCUAAAGCCGAAGAAGGACGUACGUGGCCACGAUAGUCGUCGGGGAGCUGCCAAGAAGCUGUGAUCCGACGGUGUCCGAAUGGGGAAACCCCUCCUUUAAGGAGACUCCGAUGUUAUGUCGGGGGGGGCACGUCCCGAACUGAAACAUCUAAGUAGGGACAGGAAAAGAAAUCAAAGAGAUUCCGUAAGUAAGCGGUGAGCGAAAGCGGAAAAGCCUAAACCCAGUCAUUGUGCGCAAGUACUUCGACCGGGUGUUGCGGGAAGGCUGAGGGAUCAAACGAGGGUAGUCGAACUGUCUGGAAAGGCAGGCUAUAAAACGUGAUAGCCGUGUAGGCGAAACCCGAGUUUGCUUGAAGCCGAAUUCCCAAGUACCAUGAGGCAAAUACCUUGUGGGAAUCUGGGGUGACCACACUCCAAGGCUAAAUACUUUAGCGGACCGAUAGUGAACUAGUACCGUGAGGGAAAGGCGAAAAGAAGGGUGAGAAACCUAGUGAAAUAGAACCUGAAAUUGUCUGCUGUCAAGCAGACGGAGCCCCUCCGCAAGGUCGGGGUAACGUCGUGCCUAUUGAAGAAUGAUCCGGCGAGUUUUCGAUUGUUGCGAGUUUAAGCCCGUUAAAGCCGGGAUUAGGCGAAGCGAAAGCGAGUCUUAAUAGGGCGUUUAGCAGCAGUUGGAAGACCCGAAACCUGGUGAGCUAACCAUGAGCAGGGUGAGUCCCGGUGAAAACCGGGAGGAGGCCCGCACCCGUCAGAGUUACAAAUCUGUGGGACGACUUGUGGUUAGGGGUAAUAUGCCAAUCGAACCAGGAGAUAGCUGGCUCUCCCCGAAAUAUAUAUAGGUAUAGCCUCUCUCUAUAGUGCUUUUCAGGUAGAGCACUGGAUGGGUAUUGCAUCGCAAGAUGUGGUAUUCAAUCAAACUCCGAAUUGGAAAGCUUUUGGAGAGGGAGUCAGAACGACCCGGCUAAGCGGGCCGCUCUAAAGGGAAACAACCCAGACUGUCGUCUAAGGCCUCUAAAUAGAAGCUAAGUGUUGAACGUAGUUAAAUUCCUCAGACAGCCAGGAGGUUGGCUCAGAAGCAGCCAUCCUUUAAAGAAAGCGUAACAGCUCACUGGUCGACUUUUUGGAGUUUGGCGCGGAAAAUGAACCGAGGCUAAGCUUCUUGCCGAAGACACAGAUCGUGUGCAUGGCAUACGCAAAUUCAAAUCUCUGAAUUCUAAGCUCUAAUUGGCAGUUGGGGGUUGGAUAUUCGAUUUCUGGAUUUUCGUGUGCUGUGCGCAUGGUGGUAGGGGAGCGUUCCGUUAACAGUGAAGAUUUGCCGUGAGGCAGGUUGGAGUGGACGGAAGUGAGAAUGCCGGAAUGAGUAGCGCAAUGGUUGUGAGAAUCAACCACGCCGAAACCCCAAGGUUUCCUGGGCUACAUUGUUUGACCCAGGGUAAGUCGGCACCUAAGGUGAGUCCCUCGCUGAGCGAGGGGGUAGCUGAUGGACGAGCCGUGAAUAUUCGGCUACAUAGUAAGUAUCGCUAAAUCGCGCAAGCGAAUAACUAGGGAUGGACAAAAUGGGAAAGACCGAACGCAUAUAGUGAAUGUGUGUCGCAAUCAGUAAGGUAGUUGGGCUUGGAAAAUCCGGCCUGGCGUUUAACCGAGCUGUGAUGGGAAAUCUGGCGAGUAAUCAACGGAUGACUCGGUAAUUUUCUGUUUUCAAGAAAAGAUUCGUAGUGAGAUACUUAUUAUGCCGUACCGCAAACCGACACUGGUGGGGUGGUCGAGUAGACCAAGGCGAUCGGGAGAAGGCAGUUCAAGGAACUCGGCAAAAAAGCUGGACGUAAUUUAGAGAGAUGUCCUUCCGCUUAAAGCGGACGCAGCGAAAGAUUAUUUCCCGACUGUUUAACUAAAACACAGGUCUGUGCAAACUUGAAAGAGAAGGUAUACAGGCUGAGGCCUGCCCAGUGCUCGUAAGUUAAGUGGAUGGCUGAGAUUACAUCAAGGUUUGAAAUGAAGCUCGAGUGAACGGCAGCAGUAACUAUAACUGUUCUAUGGUAGCGAAGUUCCUCGACAGGGGACAAUCCAUUGAAAAAUGGAAAAGAAAACUUGGCUAUAUGCUGGAACAACUGGAGUAUCUUGUGAUACUAUCGCCCAACGGAUAAAGCAGUCUCUGGUAGGUAGUAAUAAAGCACAAGUGCAGUCAAUCAGCAGGAAAGACUCCGAUGUGACAUCGGAGGAUCCUCAACGACUACACGCCAAGCCCCCGGUGUAACACCGGGGUGAAGAUAUAGUCUGAACUUGCAGGCGACUGUAAGAGCCUUGAUUGGAACUAGAAAGGUAUCCUAAAAAAGGAUUAACAUAUUGUGUCGGGUAAGUUCCGACCCGCACGAAAGGUUUAACGAGGGAAUAACUGUCUUGAACUGUCACCCGGCGAAUUUGAAAUGGCUGUGAAGAUGCGGCCUAACUCUACUAGGACAAAAAGACCCUAUGGAGCUUUACUGUAACCAGGCCCUGUUUUGGAUUUUGAGAUAGUUUAGAGUAGGAGGGACUCCGGUGUCAUAACUGGAGAAAAGUGAAACACCUCCCGUUUUGAAAUCUCAAGACUUACCCAAGGAAGCUGGAGACGCUUUCGGAGACAAGGUCUGGCUGGCAGUUUUACUGGGGAGGUAUCCUGCUAAAAGGUAACGCAGGAGUACUAAGGUGCACUAAACUCGGAUGGAAAUCGAGCGGGUCGUGUAACGGCAUAAGUGCGCUUGACUGUGAGAGCGGCGGCUCGAGCAGGGACGAAAGUCGGUCGUAGUGAUCCUCCGUCGCGUUGUGGGACGCACGGAGCUUAACGGA